AUACUUACCUGGCAUAGAGGGAUUCCGUGAUCAUGCAGGCGGUUCCCCCAGGGUGAGGCUGCUCUAUUGCACUGCGGAGUGGUUGAUGGUUGACCCUUGCGAUUAUUUUUAUUUUUAUCAAUAAAAAAUGUAUACCCGAAUAAUUAUUUU
rnacentral:snRNA from 9 species